GGGGAUGUAGCUCAGCAGCACAGCACCUGCCUGCCAAGCGUGAGGCCCCGAUUCAAUUUCUGGUUACCCCU
rnacentral:tRNA from 1 species